rnacentral:tRNA from 1 species
GCCCCCCUAGUAUAAAGUACAAGCGACUUCCACUCACUCAGUCUCAUCCCCCGCAUGAGGGGGGGCA